UUUAUUGGAGAGUUUGAUCCUGGCUCAGGAUGAACGCUGGCGGCGUGCCUAAUACAUGCAAGUCGAGCGAAUGGAUUAA
rnacentral:rRNA from 2 species